rnacentral:rRNA from 1 species
AUGGCUGAGGCAGUGAUUCUGUCAGCCAUAAUAAAGAUUGGCGUUGUUCUAGGGAAUGAAGCAAUAAAGCAGGCUAGCUCACAUUUUAAAAAGUUUAUUACACAGCUAACAGAGCUUCAGGGCAGCAUGGGCCGGAUCAGAAGGGAGCUCAGAUUAAUGCAUGGAUUUCUUUGCCAAGUGAACAUGUGGAAUCGGAAGAAUCAGGCCUAUGAAAUUUGGGUUCAAGAGUUGAGAAUGGUUGCUCACGGGAUUGAGGACAUUGUCGAUGACUAUUUGUAUCUUGUUAGUCAUAAACAUGAUACUGGACUGGGCGCCUAUCUGAAGAACAGAAUUAAGCGGCCAUAUGUGUUGUUGUCUUUGAAUAGGAUAGCUUCAUUGGUUAAGGAAGCAGAGGUCAAUCUCGUGCACCUCUUCCAGGCUAAAGAUAGGUGGGUUCCAAUGGUAGGUGGUGGGGAUUCCAGUGGCUCGAGUUACUUUGUUGAGAGGUCCCAACAUCUCACAAGCAUUUCACGUUCCCUUGGUGAAGAAGAUCUUGUGGGGGUGGAUAAAAACAGAGGAAAACUUGAGCAGUAUUUGGUAGGUGAUGAUUUGGCACGCUCUGUGAUAGUGCUGCAUGGAAUGGGAGGGCUUGGUAAAACAGCUUUGGCUGCCAAUGUCUACAAGAAGGAGAGGGAAAAGUUUGAAUGCCAUGCCUGGGUCUCCAUCUCUCAAACUUAUUCCAUAAAAGAUGUUCUGAAAUGUCUAAUUACUGAACUUUAUAAAGGCAGAAAAGAUACACCAAAAAACAUGGACAUUAAUGGCCUUCAAGAUGAAUUGAGGACCUUCCUACAGGUCAAGAAAUAUUUGAUCAUAUUGGAUGAUGUUUGGGCUCCGGAAGCUCUCGAAUACCUAUUGGGAGCACUCGCUCAUAAUCGGAGGAGGAGUAGAGUACUUGUGACAACACGCAUUGAUGGUGUAGCUCACCAUGCUCUCCAAGACCAGAAGAUAACAAUUGAAGCCCUACCAAAAGAUGACUCAUGGAAGCUCUUCUGUAAGAUGGGGUUUUCCAAAGAUACAAAUUAUAAAUGCCCUGAUGAACUGAGAGAAUUAGCACAAGAAAUUGUCAGCAAGUGUAAAGGCAUACCUCUUGCAAUUGUAGCUGUUGGUAGGCUCCUCUUGAUGCGCGACAAGACCAGAGAGGAAUUCAAGCGAAUACGUAACCAGCUCGAAUGGGAGCUAGUUAACAAUCCAAGGAUGGAACAUGUCAGGAAUAUUCUUUAUUUGAGUUUCAGCUACCUUCCGACACAUCUGAAAAGUUGUUUCCUAUACUGCAGCUUAUUUCCAGAAGACCAUCCUUUCUAUAGAAAAAAGCUUGCACGGCUAUGGAUAGCGGAGGGGUUCAUCGAGGAAAGGGGUGUAAGCACAUUAGAAGAAGUGGCAGAAGGUUAUAUGCAGGAGUUGGUUCACAGAAACAUGCUACAACUUGUUGCAAGGAAUUCAUUUGGUAGGAUAAAGAAAUUUAGAAUGCAUGAUAUUAUACGUGAAUUAGCAGUUGACUUGUCCCAGAGUGACUGUUUUGGUGUUACAUAUGAGGAAGACAAAUGUGGAGGGUAUCUUGAGAAUGGUGGGCGUCGAUUGGUAGUACACAAACUAAAGAGGGAUGUUCCGCAAUCAAUUUCAAGUAUACACCAGCUACGAUCCAUGACAGUAUUGGACAAUAAUAUGCCAUCAUUCACUCUACUGCCUCUGUUAUGUGAGAAGUCACGAUAUAUGACAGUGCUAGAAUUAAGUGAUCUACCUAUCAUGACGAUUCCAUAUGCUAUUGGGGAUCUGUUCAAUCUUCGCCAUUUGGGUCUGCGUAAUUCAAAAGUGAAGAUGCUCCCAAAUUCUAUUGAGAAGCUCUCAAAUUUGUUGACACUGGACAUUUGUAAUUCCGAGGUAAAUGUGUUGCCUAUUGGGAUCGUGAGAUUGAAGAAGCUUAGGCACUUAUUUGCUCAGAUAUGGAAUGAUCCAUCUCAUGCAGCUCUCCAUGUGUUCAGUGGUGUAGUCAUCUCCAAGGGUCUUGGUAACCUAACAAAUCUGCAGACACUACAUGCACUGCAAGCACAGGAUGAGUCAGUUAGACAACUGGGAGAGCUGAGGCAACUGAGAAGCCUGAGAGUAUUGAAUGUGAAGGGAACCAACUGUGCACGUCUCUGCGAGUCUCUAGUUCAGAUGCAAUUUUUGUCCUACUUAGAUGUGAUUGCAAAUGAUGAGAAUGAGGUUCUACAGUUGAAUGCCCUCCCGCCAAACCUGCAAAAGCUACGUUUGAGAGGGCAAUUAGACACCGAGACUUUACAUGAGUCCUCUCUCUUGCGAGAGGGAAAUCAAAACUUGUAUUCACUGGGUCUAUAUUGGUCAAGGCUGCUAAAAGACCCCCUGCCAUCCCUUUCUCAGUUGAAAAAUUUGACGGAGCUAUUCUUCACCAAUGCAUACAAUGGAGAGCAGCUAGUAUUUCACAAGGAGUGGUUCCCCAACCUGAAGACUCUUCAGUUACAAGACCUUCCUCGUCUGAAGCGGCUAGAGAUAGAGGACGGUGCUUUGGCGACUCUGGAAAAACUAUUCCUAGUCAACCUCAACACCAUGAUGGAGGUCCCACCUGGCAUUGAGUUUCUCGUGACCCUCCAGUAUCUAGCCUUUCAAGAAAUCACUUCAGAAUUUUUGACGCUGCUGGACCAAUGUCCUAGAGUGCCCCAGUUCUGGUAUUCUCUCUGA